GAUAUAGUAUAUAUGGCAAUCCUAUUGAAGAUUUGGACCAUGUCCUCCGUAAGUGUAGCAUGGCUAAACUACUUUGGUUAAGAAUCAUUCUUCCUGAAGCCCAAAUAACCUUUUUUGGUGGUGCUGCGAAUGAUUGGUUCAUAUUGAAUAUCAAGAAUUGAUGGUCCUAGUGUAAGAAAUUUCAGGAUUGGAGAUUGACC
rnacentral:lncRNA from 1 species